rnacentral:rRNA from 1 species
UACGGGGGGGGCAAGCGUUGUUCGGAAUUACUGGGCGUAAAGGGCUCGUAGGUGGCCAACUAAGUCAGACGUGAAAUCCCUCGGCUUAACCGGGGAACUGCGUUUGAAACUACAAGGCUAGAGUGUGGCAGAGGGGGGUGGAAUUCCACGUGUAGCAGUGAAAUGCGUAGAGAUCGGGAGGAACAUCAGUGGCGAAGGCGGCCAUCUGGGACAACACUGACGCUGAAGCACGAAAGCGUGGGGAGCAAACAGG